GAAAAUCAUUGAAAUGAACGACACGAAGGGAUCUCCUAUCCCUGAACACACUCGAUCCCGCCCAGUGAGUCGCAUAACAAACCGAACCAAUCAGGUGAUUCGAAGCAGUUGCGUGCUUUAAACGUCACUGAAGUGAUUCAAACGUCACCGAGUCAUGUGACCAAAACACCGUCGGCACAGUGGCUUUGCUUCAUGAGCUACCGCGCAUGUGUCGAAGCCUCGGGUAUCAGAGGACCAUCACUACUGGUAGCAUCUCUGGCUGCUGUUGAUCUUGUUUUUGAAGUAAAACACGGUGGAAGCUGAAUUAGUGAGGAUGACUCCUGCUCCUGUCAUCUCUAAGCUCCUCACACAUCUUUACCUGCACAUGAGGAAAAUCACUCCUGUAGAAUGCAGAUGUUCAGAGGGAGAUGAUGCCACAUCUGGUCCAGCUGAUGGAAGGUCUUGAAGUUCUCUGACUGGCCUCGACUGAAGAUGGUCGUCUCACUGGAUUUAAGGUUCAGAUGCUCAGUAACAAACUCCACCAAUGUGCCAACAGGGAAGCUUUAGGUUUAUUAAAUGUUGCUAUGAAGGUAUCGCUGUUUUUCUUUGUGAAUGCAAUGUGCUCCAGCUGAAACUUGAAUUAGAACUUAGAAGUAAAUCCUUCCAUCUGAAAGGAUUUAGUUGCAUUAAUAACCUCAUAACAUUCUAAUUUUUAUUCCAGUCUUGGUUGGAAAUAGAAUCUCUGUAUUGAUUCAGGUAAAAACUGAACUUCACAGCAUGUUGGAGCAAAACAACCAGAUGAAAACUGUGAUGGUGUUGGAUUGUCAGACCGUAAUGUUGCAGCUCAAAGCAGCUUUUCUAGCUCAGUUCAUUCUGACAUUCAGCUAUGAAUCAACACAGCAGAUGGUGAUCCAUGCUGUGGAAGUCUCACAUCUCCUGAUUUAAUGGAGCUGCUUCACACUUUUUACACUGUUUAUUCACCAACACUUUAUUUAAUAAAAGUCCCAUCUAGUUUUUAUGAGGAAUGUGAUGUUUUAAUUUCUCUGUGAAUAACUGCAGUCUAAUGCAACAGCUGGAGUUGUAACAUCUGUCCUGAUAUUGAUCAUCAAGUAUUGAUCAGAAUACUUAUGGUUAGCAGUCAUCCCUGAAGUUUUACAUUAAAAUCUUUACUUGUGUUGUGAACUUUGGUAAGAAGCAGAAAUGUUGGCGUUGCCAUGGAUACAUGAGUGUUAAAUUCUGUCCAUGUUUCCAUUUUGGGAAAUGCAGUCCAGUUCCAGAAUGUGGAGGAAUUUAGUCUCAAUCACAGACAACAAAUAUUAUCUGAAAGUUGGGUUAUUGUUGUUUAUCAGCACAAUACAAAAAGAUUAAUGUUAGAAAUAUUCCAGUUAAGACUCUAGAAUAUCAUGAUUUAUGUAAAUUUACCUCAAUAAUAUGAAUGUUCAGGUUAAGAUUGUGCAGCGAUAUUUAUUAUGUAAGUUUAGCUGAUUAAAGUUUAUGAUUCUGCACUAAAAUAUUAUUUAAAUUGACAUCAUUAUUAUAAUAUUUAGGGUCAGACCCUACAGUAUUGAGAUUAAGAAAUCAAAUAUUCUAUAAAAUGUAAAUACACUGAACUCAUUUGGAUAUAUUUAAGUGAGACUCUACAAUAUUAUUUGACACAAAUCUAUCUAAAUCAACAUUAAUAAUAAUUUUUACUCCAAACAUUUACUGGACUGAUUUAAACAUUAAAAUCACUCCUUUCUAAUCCUCUGCUGUGCGUUCAAACCUGAGGCCUUAAAUAGAAACACACAAGUAUCUGUUUGAAGGAACUUUUGCAGAGUCCUGGUUCCAGAACAUGAUGAUAGAAUUAUAGACAAACUUUAACAAAAGCUGCCUGAGAGUUUACAGGUUUUUAUCUUAGAUUUCUUCAGUGAUUUAAUGAGUUAUCAGCAAAAAUCAAGUGUUCAUUUGAUGAACUUCAUUUCCUAAAACAUCCAGAAUUGGAGCUCAUAUCUUUGGCAGCUGUAAAGUUUCUGCUCCUUCAAACUUCACAACACAGUGAAUGAAUUCCUAAAACACUCUCAAUGCUGGAGAGCGUUUGUGAUGCUGAAGCAGUGAUCAGUUUUUCUGUUUCUUCUCUGGAGAUGCACAAUGAGGGACGUCUGCAGAGACUGAGAAAGAGUCUAACCACAUCCUUACAUGAGGAAAAAGACUUUAUUGAAGACUACAAUGAGAAAAACUAUCAGACAGCAGACGGCUGCAUUCAAGGCUACAGGAGGAGUCCUACGAGGACGAGCCGGUCCACCUGAUGGUGGCCAGUCGCUGUGGUUCAAAGCCAACACCGACUACGUGGACUUCUACUGGACCACACGGAGGCCUUCAAACCGGACCAACAAGUUCAGCGACUCCCCGACUCGUGGGUCUGAGGACGCCGCCGAGCCUCGGUCCAGCCGGCUGCCUGUCUGUGGGUGUUUGAGUGCUGAGAGGUUUGUGGAUGCAUGUGAACAUCUGUGUUGAAACAGCAGCUUUUGACUCGGUAACGCUGGUAAAAACCAAGAGCUCCUUUAUUUGUGACUUCCACUAAAAAACUGAUGAAAAUAAGUUUGCCAGGGUUCUGACUAAUAACAGAUGAUUAAAUGGUGAAAAUAAUCGUUUAAGUAUUCCUUUAAACAAUCCUUUUAGGUCUACAUUUCCUUUACUCUGACUUCUUAGUAUAUGUACAAGUAUUUUGGGUGGAAUAUAACAUUAAGCCCAAUGUUCAAGGGUUCUUUUGGGAAUAUACCAUUAAAUCAACCUUUUAGGUAAAUGUUCCAUGAUGCUGGGUAGAAUAUACCAUCAGAUAAACAUUUUAGGUCUACAUUGGAAGAUUUUAGAGUAGAAUAUUACUCCAAACCAUCCUUUAGGUCUACAUUUAAGGUGGAAUACUCCUUUACACCAAGAUUUUUUGGUCUACAUUGAAAGAUUUUAGGUGGAAUAUAACUUUGAACGAACUUUUUAAGUUUAUGUUCAAGGAUGUUGGGUGGAAUGUACCAUCAGAUCAACCUCCAUGUUGGGUGGAAUGUACCAUCAGAUCAACCUCCAAAGUCUACAGUAGUGAAUUUUAGGUGGAAUAUACCAUUAAACUCACCUUUUAGGUCUACAUUGGAGGAUUUUAGGUGGAAUGUUCUUCCAAACCGUCUUUUAGUCUACAUUUAAGGAUGUUUAGGAUGGUAUAUUCUUCCGAACCAACUUCUCAGGUCUACAUUUCAGGUGGAAUAUUCCUCCAUACUAACUUUUUUGGUCUUCACUGAAGGAUUUUUUCUAAACCACCCUUUCAGGUCUAUAUUUGAGGUUUUAGGUGGAAUAUUCCUUUUAACCAGCCCCUCAGGUCUCUUUGAGGAUUUUGGAUGGAAUACUCGGUUAAACCAACAUUUUAGGUGCAUGUCCAAGGCUUUUUGGUGGAAUGUUUCUUUAAGGUGGAUGUUUGAGGACCUUGUAGGUGGAAUACUUCCUGAAACCAACCUUUUAGGUCAACAUUCAAAGAUUUAAGGUGGAAUAUUCCUUUAAACCAACCUAAAUUUCAUGUUUUGAUCAUUAUCAAGUGAGAAACCUCAAUCCAGAUUCCUCAUAAUGACGUUUGAGAUUUAUGCUGCUGUUAUUUGUUUAGUCCAGACUAAAUGACAGAAAUCCACAACUGUAAUUUUAUUUCAGGACUCGGUUAUUAAAUGUCAAAACAAUCCAUGUGACUCUAAAAACUCAACAGCCGUACAAACUCUAAGAUUAAACUCUCCACAAGGAUCCAAAAUAAGUUGGACUUCUACAUGAGAGCUUUAAUUAUUCUUCAUCUACUUCCUGAAAAGUUUGGUCAAUAAAAAAGACAAAAACUAAUAUUUUCAGCUGAACUAAAGACAGACUUUGUGAUUUUUCUGCUCACACGUUGUGUUGUUGUAAACUUACUCUUUCAAAUAAAUAGCCGGCUAACCCCCUGGAAACCAGCGUUUGUCCUGUUUUUGUGUUGCUCCUCGGCGACCCUAGACAGCCGGGUCCUAAUGUUUUUUGAGCAACACACCAUACUAUGAUGUUUUUACAAUGAUGGUUCUACUAUGAAACCAGUUUGACAUGUUCAGGUGUUCUUUGUGUGAAAACUCAGAGAUUUCAGGGAUCACAAGGUGGUUUUCAACUUUCUUUAUUAACUUUUUGCUUCAACUUUAAACUAAAUUUCCUUCACUAACCCAGCCCUCUGGACUUCCAGUAAGCUGUGUUCCUAUUGGCUGUCCAGGUGGCUGCUUGGUGUUAUCAGGAACACCUGAGCAGCUCACUGUCUUCCUGCUUUAUUUAGCUGCAGACAAACAUUUCCUCUGCUUCUCUUCACCAGUGAACCGAGUUUGGCUCCGUUGCCUUAGGUUGUUCUUUAGGCGUUGGCUUGCAGCUUCCAGCAGUAAAAUCAUCUUUAAUGUGUUUGUUGGUGUGUUUUAGGGCUUUGUACUGGAUAGCUGUCUUGGUAAAUGUGGUUCUUUAGCCACAGUUAGCACAUGGUGCUAAUGUGUGCAGUGAUUAGUGGAUUUGGUGCAGGUGAGUUGUGUCUUUAUCUUGGCUGUAGUGAGUCUUUAGAGGUUUUUGGUCAGACACAUUCUGUAUUCUUGUUUGUGAACCAGCGUUGGUUGUCCAGAAGGUAAGAGUUCCUGUCCUGAUUCUCUGUUCUCAGAGGUUCUCUGGUAGGCUGCAGGAGACUUUUGCGUUGGGGUUGUGCGAGUUUGGUUUUUGUACGGUUUCAUUUGGACAACUAUCUUGAGGCCCCUCCAUGUGGUUUAGUGAGGUUUUCUGGAACAGUUCUACAAAGCAACCUGCAGCAGAAGAGCCUUUGAGAGUUUUUAGGAAGUUCUGGAGAGCAGACUUUAGAGCAGCAGAAACAUUGUCAGCAGUUUGAGCAGGAGAAGGUGAGCUUCAGAGUAGAAAUGAGACGGAAACCUUCUUGACUCGUGUGGUGAGGUCCUGUACGAAGAGUUUGAGCAGGUUGUGAAGAGUCUGUAGUUCUUUGGUCUGAAAGCUCAAGAAGAGUCGACUCAUUAAAGGAGAAAACAGGAGAUAUUGUUGGUUCUUCUGUCGCUCUGCAGUUUCCUUAGACUGAAUAUCAAGUUUAUAUUUUAAAUGAUUUCCCAUGUGAGCCCAAGAAGACUUCAAUAAACUCCCUCCAUCCCCUGGACACAACAUAUUUUAUUACCAUGUUAAUUUUUUUU